UCUCCUCUCAUUAUUCGUUACUCUCGUUGAACUGCUUCAAUUCUCCAUUAGCCGAAAAUAGAGGCUGAGAAGUGUCCCAUUUGGUGGCCGCCGGCGAAGCUGUUCGAAAAAAGGAAUUUAUGAUAAUAUGGCGGGACUGCAAGAUGUGGCUGAUUGGUCGGACCUUCAACAUGAUCUGCUGGUUCUAAUAGUUAGACGUUUAAAUUUGAUUGAAGACUACCUUAAUUUCGGCAUGGUCUGCAAAUCGUGGCACUCUAUGGCCACCAAGGCCAAUUUUAACAGUGACUUGCCUAGGAUUUCCUGGCUGAUGUUAGCUGAGGAGGAGGAUGAUAACACCUGUAUAAAAUUCUUCAGUCUCUAUAAUGGCAUGAUUUUGAAGAAGCGGAUUCCGGGAGCCAGUGGAAAAUGAUGUGUGGAGUCUAUGGGGUGCCUUAUCACAGUGGGAAAAGACGAGGGUGAAAUCAGUCUGUUACAUCCCUUCUCUGGUGUUCAGAUCGAAUUGCCCCAUCAAAAUGCCACUGAAGAUUAUUAUGAACUCAACGACACUGAAGAACCGUGGACCUUUAUCAGGAAAGCAGUUCUCUCAGCUAAUCCUUCUCAGACAUCUGACUAUGUUCUCAUGGUCAUUGAGGGACCCAACCAAUUCCUUAGUUUUUAGAGACUAGGAGAUUUACUAUGGACCAGGAUUGGGAGUGGAACCUCUUUCCAACAUGUUAGUGAUGUGGUAUAUUUUGAUGGCCUCUUUUACACGGUUGCUUAUGGCGGCUUUGUCUAUGUUUGUGAUGUUGCUCUCUCUGGACCUGCUAAAACUCAUUUCGUAGCAAAGUUACACGGGAUCCAGAUGCGGAGUGUUACAUCCUAGAAUCAUUAGGAUCAUUAUUUGUAGUUACGCUAUAUUAUGUAAUAAAGAGAGUCGAGAAUGAUCUUGAGAUUCCAUUGACGCCCAUCUAUACCACAGAUAGUGUGAAGUGGACAUAUCGGACAACAAAUAUUCAAGUUUUCCAGGUAGAUUUAGCUGUUGGCAAAAUGAUUGAGACCAGGGAUUUAUGGGACAGAGCUUUUUUUCUGGGCGCUAAUGCUUCUCUUUCAGUCCAAGCUUCUCAAUUUCCAGGAAUCAAGCGCAAUCAUAUUUAUUUUACAGAUAAUUGUUUGAUUGAGCACACUGAGUUUGAAGAAGGAGGCGGCUCGGACAUGGGGGUGUUCAACUUAGCAGAUGGAAGUUUCCAGCCGCAUUACGAGGGUAUUUCCCUCAGUCGUGUUUGUCCGCCACUUUGGGUCACACCAACUCUGCGUUGAGCAUCCUUUGAUUCAUCAAAGCCAGUUACAUCUGCUGAUGUUCAGGAGAUCUUUGAGAAUCUUAGUGUAGGCGGGUAACUUAAGUUGUUUUGGAUGUUCGAGGAUGUAGCUUUGCAGCUAAACGUCUAGUAUUUUAACUGCUCUAUGUACAAGGAGAAGUGUUAAUGUUGCUAUUCAACUAUCUACCUCUAGCUUAUAGUAGUAUGUUCUAUGGUUAGACAAUGCUAUCAUGUUACUGUUAUGCACUUAUGCUGAAAGAAUUCCCUUGAGCAAUGGAAAUUGCUGUAAAAUGUUUCUGCUGGAUCGCAAUUUCGCAUUCUUCUUCCCUUCCCCUUUACAAGGUCCCUAUUCUAGCUUCAAGAAAGGGAGCUUCUUGUAGUAGUUUGUACAAUUCAGUAUUGCAUAACGCUGCUGUUUAUAUAUCGAUGUUGUUACUGCUCCUUUUCAUUUUGUCCUUGAGCUGAGGAUCCUCGGAAACAGCCUCUCUACCUCCACGAAGUUGGAGUAAGGUCUGUGUACACACUACUCUUCCCAGACCCUACUUAUGGGAGUAUACUAGGUAUGCUAUUGUUUGUUGUAGUAUUGCAUAACGCACAGGGGCAUUGGCCAGAGUAGUAACAAUAGUAUAGUUCAUGAAAGAUUCUGACACUGAAAUGCAGUAUAAAUUUAAGAGGUCUCUUUGGAAUGCCGCUUUAAUAUUGAAAGAAUAAGAAAUUUAUUAGAUGAAUUUAGCUUCAAUUUUUUUUGUGUUUGAUGAUUUUUUGCAGAAAACAAUUGAAGGAGUAGCCGAUCACAAGUCAUGCAAAUCAAGAAGGAAAUGUGUAGAUUGUGAUAUACUGAAUGUGGCCCGGUAUGUAAAUGAUUUAAUUUCUUUUAAGCCUUGAGGCUAAUCUUAUUUUAUAAGCGGUGUCACAAUUUGAACAAGUGGACUAAUGAACAAAUUACUAUAAUGAUAAUUGAUGUCAAUUUUAUAU